rnacentral:tRNA from 1 species
GGGCUGGGGCUCAGUGGUAGAGCACUCACCCAGCAUGCAUGAGGCACUGGGUUCAAUCCUCAGCACCACA